GCUAGAUACCAGCAUACGGUCCGUACGGAGAGAAGAAAGCAGAGGAGAUCGUUCGGAGACCGUUAGCGCGUAAAUAGAUAGAGCCGUAAGUCAGGAUUAAGCUUAGUUAGGUAGGGGUAAAGGCCGUACCAAGGCGACAGAAUCUAGUAAUCAGAGGUCUUAGANGAGAGAUUUGAAUCCGAGCCCGAACGAACUAGAGAGACUAGAAGACAACAAGGCCUCAUGAACUUCGCUAACGGGAGAAGNGCAGCAAG
rnacentral:rRNA from 1 species